rnacentral:lncRNA from 1 species
UUCCUGGAAUGUGAUGAUGAGGUGGGAAUAAAGAAAAAGUGAUACACAUCUCUAAAUUGAAACUUGACUUGCUAGGAACAGUAUGAGGAUCAAAUGAGAUAAUGUAUGUGAAGCAUCUAGAAUAGUGUCUACCUGAUACAUAGCUCUAAAAUAGUCUUUGAAAUAACGGGGCUGAUGGACAAAGGCCAAAAAAUCUCAUUGGCUUAAUCUUUGAAACCAUAUUUUGCUGCACCUGUCAACAGAGAAAGAAGCUCAUAGAAACAUUAGUCAUGAAGCAGCACCUCAGAGAGAUGACAUAUUCACAUUUUUCAUUGUAGGUGAUAACCUUUAUUUUUAUAGCAGAGGUAAAAGCUUCAAUUUGCAUGAAUCCCAGUGACAUUAAGUGACAUUUUACAGACAUGUAAACUCUUGAGAGGUUUAAA